UACGGAGGGGGCGAGCGUUAUUCGGAAUUAUUGGGCGUAAAGGGCGCGUAGGCGGCUUUGUAAGUCAAAGGUGAAAUCCCUCGGCUCAACUGAGGAACUGCCUUUGAAACUGCAAGGCUUGAGGCCGGGAGGGGGUAGCGGAAUUCCCAAUGUAGCGGUGAAAUGCGUAGAUAUUGGGAGGAACACCAGUGGCGAAGGCGGCUACCUGGACCGGUUCUGACGCUGAUGCGCGAAGGCGCGGGGAGCGAACGGG
rnacentral:rRNA from 1 species